UACGAAGGGGGCUAGCGUUGUUCGGAAUUACUGGGCGUAAAGCGCACGUAGGCGGAUUGUUAAGUCGGGGGUGAAAUCCUGAGGCUCAACCUCAGAACUGCCUUCGAUACUGGCAAUCUCGAGUCCGGAAGAGGUUGGUGGAACAGCUAGUGUAGAGGUGAAAUUCGUAGAUAUUAGCUAGAACACCAGUGGCGAAGGCGGCCCAACU
rnacentral:rRNA from 1 species